AGUUGAUAUGUGUCGAUAUGGAAUUAUAAUAUAUUUCGAAUUUGAUGGGAAGUGUAGAAAUUGUAAUUAUCUAAAGUUAUGGCAUCUAUUUGGUAAUUAAGAAAAGUAUUUGGCCUUAUAGCCAAUUUUCAUAACUUACAGUUGAGAUAGGAAUUGACGUGUAUAUCGUAAAUUCACAAUCCUCCUUUGGCAGCCACGUUUCUUCUCUUCACCCCAGCUCUUCUCUCACCGUCUCUCUCUUUCUCUCUAUCUUCCUCCCUCUCUCUCUAUAUUCCUCUCUUCCUCUAUCGGCUCUUGGGCUGGAAUUGCAGAAAUUUUACAGCAAAACUCGAGUAAUAUGAGAGGAUUCUUAAUUCACCAAGUUUAGGUCUGAAGAAUUGAAAUAUUUAAAGAAGAAAGCCCCAAAUUAAUUAUUCAAUGGAAGUGGCGUCUGAUUGGGAGGUGCCGUUGGAAAUCUCAAGAUGCAGCUUCCUUGUGGUGAUGGAUUUCACCGGCGAUGACGCGCGGUGGUGGUCGGAAAGGGUCGAAGAAGACGAGCAGUCCAGAACCCGAAUUUCAGCGGUUGGUCGUUCAAAGAAUUAAUUGAACGGAGGCCUUAAGGGUAGAAUCUCGAAGAUCAGGUCCCAUCAUUAGAAACCUUACGAUGUUACCUUUCUGUUGGUGGUGAAGCUCGAUGGCUUGCACCGACGUUGGUCGCCGGAGUUUGGUGAGAAGUCGGCCUGCUCGCUGCGAUUUUGGGGAAGCAAAAUCUGCUGCCGCACUUGUUUUCGGAGCCGAAAUCGAAGGGUUUGGAAUGCGAAUUUGGAAUCAGUUCCUUCAGGAAACUCGUAGAGGACAUCGUAAACAAUAAGUAAGUGUUCAAUUGUAUCGAAUUAGAGUAUUUAAUAUACGUGUUUUAGAGGUCGGAAUCCGAUGACAGUAAUCUGCCGGAAACAGGGCAGUCUUGAGUAUCUUCUUGCGGGACUGUUUUCGAUACGUUGGGAUCAUAAUUUGGGCUAUGUGCCUUCAUGAAACUUGUAGAUUAAGUUGUCAGGUUUCAUUUGAUGUAUUAUUUGGACAAUUUGGAUAACUGUACAAUUUAUUAUGAUUUUUCAAACGGGCUGUGACAGUAAACGAAAUUAUCCGAAAAUCUGACAGGUUUAUGUGUUCAUCUUUCGGGGUUGUUAUGGACGGGUUAUGUUGUUAAUUUGGGAUUAGUGUCUUCAGUAAACUUGUAGAUACAAAUGUUAUCUUUAACUAUAUAUAUCAUUUAGGUCAUUCGGAUAAGUACGACGAUCCCAGUGAUUAUUUGAAUAGAGUGCCACGAGAAUCAAUUCUUAGUAUAUGUUUAAGAAAUUGACUAUGUCAUAUAGUGGAUGGUAGUAUGACUAUAUUACUGUUCGGAAUCUUAUUUAGUUCUAAUAUUUGCAUAGGUGUUGAGCGUAGUAAAGCUCUCACUCAAGGUUUAAGCUUAAAGAUGCUUCUAUAGCACUUCUAUAGCACUAGCGUUGGACUCCAGGUAAAAGAAAGACUUAGACCUAAAUUUUCAUACUAAGAGUUAAAGCUCGUGUAUGCCUCCGAUUAGUCUCGUCGAGAGGUAUCUCUAUUUAUGUUCCGUAUAGGAAUCCUUUGAUCGAGAAUUUUGUAAUAGAGUAAGUGGUGUCGAAGUCGACUUGUAAUAGAGACUCCUUUUG